UUCCGCUUCUGCUUCGCGUCCGCCAUCUUCAUCCCCUCUCCUGCCGCCGGGUCUUCUUAUCGCGAGGGGGGGAAGGGGGAGGCGGAGAGGGAAGAGAGGGGAGGCAGGGGGUGUGUGAAUGUUUCUAUGAGUGCGGGCCAGAGGAGGGCUGGGAACCCGGAGCCGACGCUCGAGACUUCCAGUAUCCCACAGAGCACUGGGGCGGCGCACCCGGCCGAGCGGACCUCCCUUCCUACCACAGAAGCCCUCCCGCCCCCAGCACGGCCACCCGUCACCGGCGGCCAAUCUAACGUAACUUCGCGAGAUCCGGACUGGGAGGCGCCCUUCGACCAGUGCGCAUGCGCCCUGGGCCUGUGCCCGCCCCAGGAAGAGCGCUCCCGCGAACUGCGGCGGUGGUGGCUGGGCCACCAGAGGGAAGCGGGUGUGGCCCAGGCAGCGGGGGCUGGGACAGACCUGGAAAGGAGGAAGCGGGGAAGGAAGGUUGUCCUGUCGGGCUGGGGGCUCCCGGGAAUCCGGAGGCCAGCAGUGGAACCGCAAGGCUCUACAGGGCAGAUCUGCCUCCCGUGCUGUCUCAGCUACGCCGAGUCGUUGGCUCAGGGCGGAGGAUUUUCCUAUUGGCCGCGUUAUUUGAAUGGAAUGGAGGAUAGGUCGUGAAGUAGGUGCUGCUGGUUGAUCUUUCUAAGGAACUCAGAUGAACUUGGGCAUGUCAGAAUUAAUAACCUUUUAAAAGUGGGGUCUGUGUGGCCGAGGGUUUUAAUGGUCCUACCCAGGGAGUUGACCAGAACCAACAUGGAACCACCCUAACUUGCUUCAGACUCCAUUGCUAGAUCAAUCCUGAUUUCUAGAUCAUAGCAUCUAAUCUUUGCCUUGCCUCUGGAUUACAAGGGGUGGAACCAAGCAGAGGGGUUCACCCAAGCCAUCUUUGGGUGCUUCCAUGGGAAAGAAGGAUUUCACUGAGAAUAAUAAGUGACACCAAGGCUCAAAAGAAUGAGAGAGAAGUCUGUUGGUCUCUUGAACAGCAGGGAUUUGCUCACAGAUCUCUGGAAGUAGCCAGAAUGUGACAGGAUCUCAAAAUGAAUGGCUGCUUCAUGGAGGCUGGAACAUAAGCCUGGGACUCCCAGUAGCCAAACAUAGCUGUGCCACAAACAUGGCUGAAAUGUAGCAGUUUGGUGGAUCCGAGGUCAGUCAUUGAA
rnacentral:lncRNA from 10 species